CACCCCUAAGCAGUAGGCAAAGAGACAUCUUGUUGUUGUUGUUGGUGUUCUUGUAUCAGUCAGGGGCACAGCAGAUGGCAGACCUUUGUUCAUCCUAGCUUGAUGUCUGGCUUGGUGGCCAAUGCUGUGUUAUGUCUAGGACUCAUAA